AGUUAGUUGGAAAUCGAAAUUGCAGUCGGUCAUAGCUCUUUCAACAACUGAAACAGAAUACAUGGCAGCUACACAUGCUUGCAAAGAAGCCAUCUGGUUGGAUAGGCUAUUUGGAGAACUGAAGAUGAAAAUGAAGAACAUGCGUGUGUUUUGUGAUAGUCAAAGUGUAUUACAUUUAGCGAGGAAUCCUACUUUUCCCUCUCAGAUGAAACACAUCAAUGUUCGUUAUCACUUUGUACGUGAUGUGGUAGACGAAGGUAAAAUCCUAUUGCAAAAGAUUCAUACAAAUUCAAAUCAUGCAGAUAUGUUGAUGAAGCCUGUGAUAUGGAAGAAGUUCAAAUGCUCAAAGACUUCUCUCGGAUUUCAAGUCGGAUGACGAACGGCUUGGUGGCAAGAUCUCCGGUUGGUGCUUAGUUGAUGAGAAAUGUGCUUCAAGUGGGAGAAUUAUUGCAUACGUGAUAUACACAUGUUAGUGAAGCACGUGUUUCGGAUUUUUUGUUUUUUUGGGGGCUGAUUUGUAGCGGCUUGCCUUGUAGCCGCAUGAGAGAAAGUGAAAAAAAUUGAAUACUCUCUUGUAAUUCUUCUCUCCUGGUUCGUCACCAAAAAUCAAUAAGAAAGCUAUGGAGAUCUUGCCUGUGGAUGCGCCAACGUGCCGAACCACGUUUCAUUAACAAAUACAAAGUCUGGAUAAUCAGUCAACUUUCCUGGCAUCACCAUUUGUAAUUUUGAAAUAAAAUUUGGAAAUGGAGCAUACAACUCCGUGGGUGGUGUUAUUCAACAAUUUGAUUGUGUGUGAAUACCAAGAAUGCUGAUGAGUAGUGCUGCAAAUGAUCUGAGCUGCUCUCAGAAGCAGCUUGGGCUCGUCCAGGUGCAGGCCCAGGUCAGUUAGAAAAUGAACCGAGCUCAAAUAGUUUUUGGAGCUCAGCUCAUAGUGAGCCAAGUUUGAAGAUGAGCCAGUUGCAGAUAUAAUGGAUAAGCUUUGGCUCAGCUUGAUAAAACCUCAGUGCAGAGCUUAAAUCAACCAGGGUUGAACAGCGGAAGUCAAGCUUGGGUUGAGCUCAAGCUGAGUUCAGGAAGCUCAUAUAUAUAGUGAGCUAAGCUUGAGCGGCCUGCUACUUGGCUUGGCUUGGCUUGUUUACACCCCUGCUGAUGAGGACUGUUCUGUCUUUCUUCAUCUUUUCUGCUGGUGAUACCCUUGCUUAUCUUUAUUGUGUUGCAUCCAUGUAAACUAUAUCUGGUAAUCCAGGUUCUUUGAUGCUCUAUCAGUUUUUUCUCCUUCCAGUAAUCAGAGGAAACAUGAGUCCUUUAA